GGUGUAUUACAAAAUAAUAUGAAUAAAGCUAAUAUUUUGUUUCUUAUUCCAAAAAGGCUGAGCCAUCAAAUGCCCCUUUUCCUAUCCUAUUAAAAUAAAUAUCAAUCACCUCUUAAAUUAUCAGAAAUUUGGAAUAAUUACUUAUUUGAUACAUUGUUUAAUUAUGAGGGUGAUUCUAAUACAGAUCUUGGUAUUCCCUUACAGAUCCCUUUUCCUCAGAUCUAACACAUCAACAAAAAUAAGUUAUUUGACAUAUUUGGAAAGUCAUCUUAAAGCAUUUAUAAUACAAACAUUCAAAGUCAUCUUUGUGAUACAUUUCAAUUAAGACAUAAAAAAAGAGAGAAAUGAGUAAUCAAUAUUAUUACAAUCAUUUUAAUUUUUAAAGCUAUAUAAU
rnacentral:lncRNA from 1 species